rnacentral:rRNA from 1 species
AUAUCGCGAGGUGUCAGCAGCCGCGGUAAUACGUAGGUGGCAAGCGUUGUCCGGAAUUACUGGGUGUAAAGGGAGCGUAGGCGGGGAGACAAGUUGAAUGUUUAAACUAUCGGCUCAACUGAUAGUCGCGUUCAAAACUAUCACUCUUGAGUGCAGUAGAGGUAGGCGGAAUUCCUAGUGUAGCGGUGAAAUGCGUAGAUAUUAGGAGGAACACCAGUGGCGAAGGCGGCCUACUGGGCUGUAACUGACGCUGAGGCUCGAAAGCGUGGGUAGCAAACAGGAUUAGAUACCCUGGUAGUCCACGCCGUAAACGAUGAUUACUAGGUGUGGGGGGACUGACCCCUUCCGUGCCGGAGUUAACACAAUAAGUAAUCCACCUGGGGAGUACGACCGCAAGGUUGAAACUCAAAUGAAUUGGCGGG